GGGGGCGCUCUGGUUUCGACGGGGAUGGUUGAAGCCAAGGUUGCAGGUCGAGGUUGGUCGAUGGCCUCGUAAAAAUCGACCACAAAAUAAAUGCUAACGAUGAUUACGCAUACGCAAUGGCUGCCUAAGGUAGCCUAGCACCUGACGACACGAUCGUCACGAUUGUCCGGCCGACGCCCUAUAGGCCGGAACAAUCGCCAACUCAUAGGGCUAGCAGCAUCCGUUCGUUUGCCGCGCAUGGUGUGAAACUCUUAGGUGAACUGGCUUUUCGGCUGUUUGGGCAGGGGCUACCCGGAAAGCGAGAUUUAUUCCUGUCCUAAACCUGUAGAUGCCUUGAGUGGAGCAUUCUCGGACGCGGGUUCGAUUCCCGCCGCCUCCACCA
rnacentral:tmRNA from 1 species